rnacentral:rRNA from 1 species
UACGAAGGGGGCUAGCGUUGCUCGGAAUGACUGGGCGUAAAGGGCGCGUAGGCGGAUGGCACAGUCAGAUGUGAAAUUCCCGGGCUUAACCUGGGGGCUGCAUUUGAUACGUGUUGUCUAGAGUGAGGAAGAGGGUUGUGGAAUUCCCAGUGUAGAGGUGAAAUUCGUAGAUAUUGGGAAGAACACCGGUGGCGAAGGCGGGUCAC